UACGUAGGGGCUAGCGUUAUCCGGAAUUACUGGGCGUAAAGGGUGCGUAGGUGGUUUCUUAAGUCAGAGGUGAAAGGCUACGGCUCAACCGUAGUAAGCCUUUGAAACUGGGAAACUUGAGUGCAGGAGAGGAGAGUGGAAUUCCUAGUGUAGCGGUGAAAUGCGUAGAUAUCGGGAGGAACACCGGUGGCGAAGGCGGCUUUCUGGCCAGUUACUGACGCUCAUGCGCGAGAGCUGGGUUAGCGAACCGGAUUAGAUACCCUGGUAGUCCCUGAGCGGG
rnacentral:rRNA from 1 species